CAGAACAUGGCUAAAUAUAAAGCAUCUCCCUUACACCGAGAAGACACCCGUGCAACCCGGGUUGCUCUGA
rnacentral:tRNA from 1 species